GGAUUUCUUCACCUCGUCUGUUUGCUUUAAAGGUUCCUUCUUAUGGCCGACUUUGAUGCUUAUCUCAAAUGUCAGGAACGAGUCAGUGAGGCCUACCAGGAUCCUGAUCAUUGGUUUUCCAUGGCUAUUCACAACGUGGCUUCUUCUGGCAAAUUUUCCAGCGAUAGAACCAUCCAACAAUAUGCAGAAGAAAUCUGGAAUGUUAAACCACUGAGUGUCCAUGACAUGAAACCAGUCAGCAUCAAAUAAACAGGCUCCAUUGCUUCGCCCUUUGUUGGGCAUACUGUUGAUUAUAGUCGCCGAAAUUCUCAAAUGAAUUGAAUACGAAGUGUUAAGCAUCGAUUUACUUUGACUUGAAUCUCAAGGAAUGGAUUGUAACUAGGAUGAUAUUGUUAAUUCGCUGUGACUUUUUAACUGGUGAUAAUCUUGGGAUAUAACUCAAGUUUCGAAUUAGUGAACUGACCUAUCAGUAUUGUACUUUAGAGAAAGUAGCCCUAACCCGGUAGCCCUUUGUUCCAGUAUUGCAGUUUAUUGCAGUUAGAGCUGUAUGAGUUACCACUGGAAAUAAUGAAGAUGCAUUCUCCAUGGACACGUUUGUGUUUUCUUUCACCACAGUUUUUGCCAUUUUCCGUUCUAAUCCAAGAAGCAAUCUUUUUUUUCUGUUUGUUGUGUCCUUGACUGUCAAGCCGUGAAAUAAAGAAAUUCCUGAAACACA